rnacentral:rRNA from 1 species
UACGUAGGGGGCGGGCGUUAUCCGGAAUUCCUGGGCGUAAAGGGUGUGUAGGCGGCUUGCACAGUCAGGCGUGAAAUUCCUGGGCUCAACCUGGGGACUGCGCUUGAGACGUGUGGGCUUGAGUGGGGAAGAGGGUCGUGGAAUUCCCAGUGUAGAGGUGAAAUUCGUAGAUAUUGGGAAGAACACCGGUGGCGAAGGCGGCGACCUGGUCCUUGACUGACGCUGAGGCGCGAAAGCGUGGGGAGCAAACAGG